rnacentral:lncRNA from 1 species
GGAGGCGCUGGGGCUGUCCUGGGUCGUCACAUGCGAGAAAUCGUCUCACCCCAGCCAGUGUGACGGAGUGAGAGCAAAAGAAAGUUUUGAUAGCAGCGUACGAUUUAUAUUCAGCUGUAUGCUGGGCAGGUCCAACUUGGCAUUUCUUGGCUGUAUCUCUGAAGGAAAGUCAUCUUAAUCUCUAUGAGCCUCCAUUUCCUCAGCUGUAAAAUGGGAAGAUCUUCCUCACACUGCUGUGGUGUCUCGACUCCCCAAAGCGACAGAUGCUGUUCAUCUCUUGGCCUCUGUGUCAUCAUUCAUCCUUGAUUGUUCGGGGAAGCCCACUCCACCUCUGUGACAGACCCACAGAUGCAGAUUUACACAGGGAAUCCUAGACAGACACAAUGAAGAAACUCCCAUCUGAUCAGAGCCAAGUCCCAGUAAUAACAUCAAUGAAUCAUUGACUUCAGUGAGUCACAAUAUUGAGCUGGAAGAGGCCUCCAAGACCUUUUUAGUCCAACCCUUUACCUGCUAGUUAUUCACAAGUGAAUAGAAACUGAGUGAGGUCCAAAGAGGGAAAAUGACUUGACCAAGAUCACAAAGCUUGGUAAUGCCAAAGGUGAGACUGGAAGCCCCGAGCCCUGAGCCCCAGGCCCAUGCACUUUCCACACACCCCUCUGCCUGCCACAAACUAGCUGGCACAGAGAGCAGGAGGGAGGGCAUAGGCCCCUCAUGACUUAGCCAAGGGCAGCUCAGUGUCUCCAUGCAGGUGGACUCCGUGUGUCAGCUUCAGCCCUCCCUUGGGAAGGGAAGGGCCUGGGGCCGUCCUCACACCCCAGGCGCCAGGCCACGGAGCUAUAGGAGGCAGCUUCCUGCUUGGCCCUUAUCCAAGGCCAUUUCACAAUGGGGGGAAAAGCGCUGAGCUGAGAGUCCCGGGUUGCUGCUCACUCCACCCCCACUCCAGCCCCUUUCAGACCCCCCAGGGACAACGAGCCAGGCCCGGCCUGAGGCUUGGGGUGAAGAGAGCUGCAAGAAUGGAGACAGGCUGAACAGCCCCUUUUGGGAGUGUUCUAUGAGCUGUGUCCCUGGAACUGGACGAGGGCACCACCUUGCAUAUUACCAGCACUAUCCCCCUUCCCUUGCCGUCCACCUGCAAGCAUUCAGGCUGGGGAAGUCCCUUCUGGGACAGGAGUGGUCGCUUCCAGUCAGCCCCAUAGCACUCUCAUGAUUAGUCAGAGGGGAACCUGGAGGCAAGAAGGCCCACAAGCUGGGAGACGGCAAGGCCUGGGUCACUUCCUGCAGUGAGGCAACGUGACUACCAGGCAGAGGAGCCCAAAUGUCUCCUCCCAAGAUGCUACAGGGUCUGGGGUGAACUGUGGCUCAGCUGACUGAAAUUCAGGCAGGAACCAAGACAGAGACACUGAGACGGGACAUUCAGCCAGGAUUUAUUAUGCCCUUACACACAGGGUCGGCUCUGAGCUCAGCUCUGUAAGGGAUCUCGUUUGAAGUAGGAGGCAGUGGUUAAGGACCCAAAUCAUCCUGUCUUCAAGUCUUGAAGAGGAGACAAAACAAACCUAGGUGAAAUGUCAAACCACAAGACAAGGCAGUGUGAAAUGAGGGCCCACACUCUCAUGCUGGACAGUCCAGUAUGGCCAGUGAAGCGGGGGUGGGGAGGGAGUCACUGCAGACAAAGCUUCGGGGAAGAGAUGGAACCGAGAAUGAUGGGGAGAACUUGACUCUGCAGACAGGAUGGGAAAGAUCUUUCAGACAGGGAAAGGAAGACAAGGCAGAAAUCAACCUGCAUACGUGAGGACAGGACCCUGUUUGCACCAGGGGUGGUCAGCCACGAGGCUGGAAAUGUGCCUGGCCACAGGGCACUUCCUCACUCUGAGCUCUUGCUACUUGAACACAGCCUUCCUUGGUAUCCGUGGGAAGUUGCUGGCCUACUGAGGCAGGAUACCACACGGAGAACUAGGCAGGGGCGUGGAGGUGUCAAGGAACUCAGCCCCUUGGUGGAGGAGCCCUCUGACAACAGGAAGCAGCUGCAACGGGCUCCAGGGCUGUACUGGUAUCUGCAACUCUCCCCCUACCCUGGCUGCACCCUGCAGAACAAACUGUUCUUCAAGAAGUUCUGGGGACAGAGGGCCCACACCUGCUCCCAGGUCGGGGUGGAUAAACCCCCAUCAGCCAGGCUGGGAGCCCAGCAGAGACAUCACACAGCUCAGCAGCCCUCCUCACCCCCUGGCCCCCUGCCUCCUCCUACCCCAGACCAGGUUGCAGUUGACUAGGGCAAUAUAACACAAAACAAGAGCUUUAUAUUAUUAUUAUUAUUAUUAUUAUUUUAUAGAGACUGGGGUCUCACCAUGUUGCCCAGGCUGGUCUCAAACUCCUGGUCUCAAGUGACCCUCCUGUCUCAGCCUCCCAAAGUGCUGAGAUUACAGACAUGAGCCAUGUUACCCAGCCAAGAGCUUUGGAGAGGGAAAUGAGAACUGAAUCUUCAUAAAUACCUCAUCCUGGAACUUCCAACAAUGUCUCCAAAAAUAGUACCUAAACUCCAGGCCUCAAACUCUAAAUUGAGUGGGGAUGUGAAGUGGUUGUGGCCUUACAGAAACAGCACUGGAGUGGCAGCCGAAGUGCUGAGUUCUAAUCUGAAUUCUGCCACUCAUUGGCGUGGGACCUUGGACAAGUCACUUUUUGCCGGACUUGAGUUUCUUCCUCUGUAACUUGGGGAGUUGGGAUUGAGCUGUAAAGUCCCUUCCAGUUUUAAAUGUGAGACUCCAAUGCUGUCAGGUAACUUUGGGAUUGCUGUAAUGACUGUUUGGGGGCUAGUAUAGCUGGGAAAGAAAUUAGGAUGAGAAUCCAAUUGAGGGCAAGAUAAAAUGGAAUUGUAUUCUAUUCAGAACUUGAAAUAGGAUGGGAUUUUGUUUUCCCCAGAUCCUCACCAUAAAGAGAUUUGGGAGAAAAUCUUGGGAGAUUUGGACUCAGAAUAUCUUAAGAGGUAGUAUUCUAGAAGAUUGCCCAACACUUGGUGGGGAAGAGCAAGAAUUCUUCCAGAUUGCUUGACAAGCAGAACAUGGGGAGUGGGUCACAGUAAUACCAGGAAAGACACAUCCCAUCCUCCCAACCCUCUUUUCCACUGAAGCUGCUCCUUACAAUUCCUGUAACUGGGGACCAGGCCUUUCAUUCCAGUUACAGCUAAAACUUAACAUGGCCAUUUAAAUUUCCCUGAGGGUAUAAAUGGCUAAUAUUCUCUCCUUCUAAGACCCAGCAUAUGCUGAGAGAGGCCUUCAGAGGAGGUGGGGGCUGGAAGAAGGAGUGAAGGUGGAGGCCCAAAGAUCACGCAGGAGCCAUGCUUUUUCUGAAGCCAGAUCUAGGCCUAGCAACUCAGAGCAGUUCCCCGUGGGCAGUGAUGUGGAAGAAGGCCCUGGGCUUCCUAAGUGCCUCUAGGUCACUUUGUGAAACCUCUCACAUGGGCCUGCCUGGGAGGAGGAGCCCAGUGUAGCCCCCACCUGUCUGCUGCCUGCUCAUCUUCCAGGGUGUUGAGGGGAUGGGUAGCAUGGCUGUCUGCCCCCACCAAUUACCCACAUGGCUUGGGUCAACCAGACUCUGUCAGAGCUGUUGAAGGAGACAUAAACCUAGGCUUUUGGAGGCAGCUUCAGGGAAAGGUGGAGUGUGUGAGGUGGAAGGUGGGUGAGAAAGUGUGCAAGGGGGAACACACUGUUCUCUACUGGCCCUUUGCCAAACAGCAAGGGAGAGAGGAGUAACAAGGCCAGACUAUGGCCAUGUUUAGUGGUUUUCAACUGCGGCCCAAAAUGAGGCAGACAUAGGCUAGGCAUGGUCUAGCCCUUGUGUGUGUGUGUGUGUGUGUGUGUGUGUGUGUGUGUGUGUAGGGGGAGUGUGAGGAAGUUGUGAGGGUGUGUGGUGUGUGGGGGAGUGGUGUGUGUGGGGGGUGUGGUGUGUGUGAGGAGUGUGUGGUGUGUGGGGGAUUGUGGUGUGCGGGGGCGGUGGUGUGUGUGGUGUGGGGUGUGGUGUGUGCGUCUGUGUGGUUGUGUGUGGUGUGUGGGGAGGUGUCAUGUGGCAUGUGUGGGGGGUUGUGUGUGUGUGAGGAGUGUGUAGUGUGGGGGGGGUUUGUGUGUGCAUGGUGUGUGUGCGCGUGUGAGGGGGUGUGGUAUGCAUGGGCAGUGGUGUAUGUGGUGUGUGGGGGGUGUGGUGUGUGGGGGUGUGUGGUGCGGUGUGGGUGUGUGUGUGUAAGGAGGUAGUGUGUGUGGAUGUGUGUAGGGGGUGUGGGGUGAUGGUGCGUGUGUGGUAUGGGGGGUGUGGUGUGUGUGUCUGGAGUGGGGAGUGUGUGGUGUGUGGGGAGGGUGGGGAUGUGUGUGUGGAGUGUGGGGGUGUGUGGUGUGUGUGUGGAGUGUGGUGUGUGGGGAGGGGGCGGGUGUUGGCCUGGGUGAGCCCUGGCAAUCGCAGCAGAGAAGAUGCCAAAAUUUUGUAUUUACUGUCAGGGCAAUGAUGCUGGAACUGCAGAUCCAGCGCCCCGAAACCCGGCCCAUCCCAAGACACUGCUUCUCACAGCCAACAGAGGAAGGAGGGAGGGGGAGAGGCCUGAAGCCGAGGCUUCUUCUUGAGGAAUGCUCGCCAGGCCAGCAGCCUUCCUCACUUCAAUGCAGCCUUCCCCUUCUAUCCACCGAUGAGCAUUUAGCGGGCAACUCCUUUGUCCAGGGCAAGCCUUCCCCAGGUCUCUCUCUUCAAAAGCAGAUGCUACCUAGUGGGAGGUGCGGAGUUAUACAUGCAAGAAAGGGCUACAGGACAGCAUCACUAGUACCAAGCUGUGAAGGAGGUGGACUUUGAAGGGAAGAAAGAAUUUAGAAAAACAGACUAGUGGACUAGUUACUGCGGGGAGCAGAGUGCCAUUUCAGGCAGGAGAAGGAGUGUGAUGUGAAUCUUAGGGAAGAGUCCUCUUUGUAUGUUCUGACAACUAUUCUCUGACACCAACGGGGCAUCCUGCAAUUGGAUUCAGUGUCAAUUCUGACACUGACUACCUGCAGUUAGUGCCUGUGAUAUUGUGAAACAGGUAUUAAUUAGGUCUUCAUUCCUGACAUACAACUCCUAAAAUCCUUGGAAUCUCCUAAGUUUUAAGUGUCUUUUUGCACGCUAAGCACCUAGGUAGCUUCAAGAUGGGAGCUGGCCGCCAGAAAGAUCAAGACAGGGUUAGAGGAUUGGGACUUUCAGCCCCACCCUUCAACCUCCAGGGAGGGAAAAGGGGCUGAAGUUUAAGUUGAUCACCAGUGGCCAAUGGUUUAGUCAAUCAGGCUUAUGUAAUGAAGCGUCCAUAAAAACCCAAAAGGGCAGGGUUCAGAGGAUUUCUUGAUAGCUGAACACGUGGGGAUUCCUGGAGGGUGGAGCACCCAUGGAGGUUAAAGAAGCUCCACCCCUCCUCCAUAGCUCACCCUAUGCAUCUUUUCAUGUAUAUCUUGUGGACUAUCCUUAUAAUAAGCUAACACAUGUAAGUAAGUUGUCCCUGAGUUCUGUGAGCUGCUUUAGUGAACCCCAAUUAGCUGGUCAGACAGAGCAGCGGCGAAACAACCCAGGGCUUGCACUUGGCAUCAGAAGUGAGGAGAGGGGACUGAGUUCUCAACCUGUGUGAUCUGACACUGUCGGCAGGUAGAGUCAGAGUUGAACUGGAGGAUGCCCCACUAGUGUCUGCUGCGGAAAUGAUAGCUUGCUUGGUGGCGGGGAGAGACCCCUGCCCCCCCAUGUGGUGUCAGGAACGUGUUGAGAGAGCAUAGUAGGAAAAACCGAGUUUGGUUUUUUUACAGUGUCAGACUCCACAAGUUAAAUGUCAAAGUCCCCAAGACUACCCUUACUUCAGAACUCAGGCGCACGCAGGGUCCACAGGCUACUGGCACUUCUGUCUGACUUGACUACACAUUUGAGUUCUCACCACCCAAACUUAGGGUUCAGUAGUUGGCUAGAAUGGCUCACAGAACUCACUGAGCAUGCUAUACCUACAAUUAGUUUUAUUAUCAUAUAGACUCAGAACAGCCAAAGGGAAGAGCUAUGUAGGGCAAGGUGUUGGGUGGGGGCGGUGUGUGUGCAGAGCUUCCAUGCCCUCUCCUUGUGGAAUGUGGUAUGUCCCUCUCCCAGCACAUUGGUGUGUUCACCAACCAGGAAGCUCCUCGCAGUUUCAGUGUCGAGUUUUAUAUGGGGCUUUACUCCACAGGCACCAUUGAUGAAAUCAUUAACCACAUGACGAACUCAAUCUCUAGUCCUUCCCUCUCGCCCCAGAGGUUGGCGGUGCAGUAGGGAUGGGAGUAGGGAUGAAAUUUCCACACUCUGAUCACAUGCUUGGUCUUUCUGGCAUGGCCAGUCUCUCCCUUAAAAUUAAGGGCCCACCUUGAGUUGCCUUCUUAUCAUAACCUGAGGUAUGAUGGAAAUGCUCAUUACAAAUGACAAAAGGCGUUCCUGUCACUCAGGAGAUCCCAAAGGUUUUUAAAGCUCUGAGCCAGGAAAGGGGGACAAAGACCGAAUGGGCUUUUUAAAAAGUCAUAGCAGAGAUUGUAAUGGGCAGUUCCUAGGGAAAGGAAGUGGGAGCUGAGGAUGGAAAGGCAGGGUGGGGCAGAUGUAUAAGGUCAGAAGUUGAUGGGUACGGGGAGGAGAAAUCAGCCCUGCCCUCCUAAGGAAGUGCAGGCAGAGGAGAAGCAGUAGACACCACUCCCUCACUUGAGUGUCUUGGGGGAAUCUUUCACUCUUCCAGUAAGUUUAAUUUUCCCCUGGGUAGUUCGUCCAGGAGGAGGCAGCCUUCAGUUUCUGCUUUGGCACCAACGUCCCCACAACUCAGGUCCAGGUUCCCUCGUGCAGCCUCCUGACAUUCCCCACAGUUCAAAUACCACCUCCUUCUAGAAGGCUUCCCUGAUUACCCAAGUGGGAAAAGACCCUGCCCUGAAUUCUGAAAGCCCUUUGAAACCGUCCCCUACUGCCCCGCGGGGACGUCAAGACAACUUACUGUGACUCAUUCCUAUCUCCCCAGUUUGAUCCUGAGCACUUUGCCUUACCCCUUUCUGCUUCGUUCCAAACAGCCGGCACUGUGUGCUUCAUAGAACAUUUGUGAGCUCUGCAGACAUUCUGUCAUCAUCGGCCCCUCCUCUGCCCCUAACCAACUUGCUACCUUCCCUUGCAGAGCCCUGCCUCUGAAUAGAGUGUGAAUGUCUGCCCUGCCAGCCUGUGAGCUCCUCCAGGGAAAGAAUGUGUGUCUACCUUCCAAGCCUGACAAGCAGUGGGUGCCCAUGUGUGCGGAGUGAACUCAGUCACUUUUCUCCUAGACGGCGUCACCUUUCUCACAUUUAGGGAAAAUCAAGUGUAAGGGAAUGAGUUACUUAUUCUCGUAGAAGAAUGGGAAGAGUGAGAAGAAAGUUGGGGGUGAAGCAGGACUCACACAAAGGCAAGGCUGGCCUCUUCCCGCAGGGGCUGGGUCCCCCUGGGCCUCUUGCCAGGACACUGUUCUCGGUGGGUGCUCCACCAAGACGCAGGUAACUGGCAAGAUGAGAGAUCAGACCAACCUGGACCUGUGACAGGCAGGCACAUGGGCAGCAUGAACAUCCCACUAGCCUCUGGGGACAGCAUGGCAGAAAGGAGCCAUUCUGGGAAACUGUGAAACUUUCCCCUUGAAUGGCUUCCAGCCCCUUUAACAACCCCAGAGCAGCGUCCCAGCCUUGGUGAGCUGGGGUUUACUCACUCACACUCACGGUUACCACGCAGAGGCCCAGGCUGAGGGGGAAGGAACCGCCUGCUCAGCCCCCACUGAGGCCGGCCCGGUGCUCCUCUUGGCAUCACUCUGAGGGUCCUCAGUGGGCAGACCCCAGGUGGGGUGAGUUGCACAGCCCAAGAAUGAAGCUCCCUUCUGCCUCCCCUGGGCAGGUCCCAUGACUUGGAGGAAAUUGCUCCAGAGAGUGGCAACUAGACAUGAAGUGGGACACGGUGCCCAGGGUUUCUCAGUGGCCUCUGAAGCCACCCAGAGUCAGUGAGAGUAUCUUGGCCUCUCUCUGUGGGCUUCAGGGCCUCUCAGGCAGGUGUUUGUCUCUGGGAUCCCUGGAUCACGAGCCCUGUGACUCUUCCACGGCCAGCUUCCCACCCCACACCCCUGCUGAGCAUGUUACCCCGCAUCCUGGGGGAGCCACCAUUUGGGAAUAGAUUGGAUGGAGAAGGCCUGCUCCCAAGAAACAGUUAAUCCUCUCCCCUUCCCCCAGGCCCCUUGCACCUGCAGGCUGUGGUGUGUGGUUUCCCACAGCUGCAGCUGGCUCUGCAGAGCCCCUCCCUUCGAGGGAACCUGAGAGGCUCAGGGCCUGAGGCGCCAGGAGAGGCUCCUCGCCCUCUGUCCAGCUGCUGGGGAUGGCAUGAGAGGGCCUUGCUGCCCUCUGACCUGGACAUACCACAAGAGUGCUCUGGUUGAGUGACCCAUAUGUGAUUCCUGGCUUGCAAGCCAAAGGCAGAGAUUCCAGUUUGGGAGGUCAGAGAGGUUUCUGAGAAGGGAAAUCAGCCAUGAGGCCCCCCAGUCCUGGGCUUGCUCCAGCUCUGCUGCCUUCUGGAAGAAGCUGACUGGCCUGGGUGUGGGCUGGGCAUUCCCCUGGGGUAGGAUGCAGGGCUCCAGAAAGAGAGGGUGAGUGGAGGGUAAGAGGUGACUGGGAAGGACCGGGAGGAACAGGAGGAAGUGAGAUGUGGCAGGGCCAGGCCUCUGCUGGUCAAGACAGCCUUGAAGCCACGGUGCUACAACUCUGGCAGGGUCAGCCCUCUGGCUAUCCCAGAAGAGGGCAGGUUGCCACAGAGCCUGGGCAAAUACCCAGCUGCCCUCUGAACCAGGUGUUCCAGGGACACCUCCGAAUACUGCUUACACUGAGACAAUGAGACAAAAAGUGCCAGCAGCUUCCUGGCUGGGACACACCUUCAGGAGCAUUAGCCUGGAGCAGAGGCUGAACCCAUCCUAACAGCUUGCCCAUGUCCCCAGCCCCGGGCUACCGGGCAAGUGCUCACAUCCCCUGGGGACAGGUGGAUGGCACACAGGGUCAUGGCGGAGGGCUGCUCACUGGGUCCAGAGCCAGGGUCUGGGAAGAGGGAGGGAGAUGCAGGAAUCUGACAGGCUUGAGCCUCACAGGGCCCAGGGCUCUGGCUUCUCUCAGAUCCAGCUCUGGGCAAUGUUUCAGUUCAACACUCUCCCUGGGAGGCUGUGUAGCCUGGGGCUCAGGGCUUUGGUGGCGUCCUGUCUGCAGAAAAGCCCCACUCCCCACUAAGAGACAACUCCCCAUACCAGAGCAGGAAGAGAGAGGGCGAUUGAGCAAAGGAGGCCUGAGGGGAAACAGAGACACCCAUCUACAGGAGCCCCUGAGUCAGGUGUGGGAGGAGGGAGAGGCAGGGCCCAGCAGAAGCCACCGUUUGCGCCACACUCCUCUACCUCAGGCGGAGACCAGCUGCAGGGUGGCAGCCAGGGUUUGGAGGAGGUGAGGGAGCGUGCCGGCCCGGCACCCAACAGGCUUCAGUCUUGGCUCCCACACAGCUUGAUGCUCCUUUCGGGGUAUAACUGAUGCCAACCACCCAGGGCCACUGCCAGGAGUCCACUGUGUACUCAGACUGUGCUUGGCCCAUUCGCAGCAGUGCCACAGGGCCACAGGCGCAGAGCUCUGGCUGGGAGUCACUGCCAAUUUACAGUUUGCCCUCAGGUGUGUGGAGGCAAAGCCCUAUGAAAGAUUAGCUUUGCGCUCCGGAGGAGAGGGCGCAUGGCAGGUGAUCUGCCCACCAUGGCUUAUUUGUGGCUUCAUCACUGUGAUGACACUAUGUUUGGCAUUUACUCAUUAUUGUUAUCCAGACCCCACGUUAUCAAGAAAAGUACAGGAAAUCUGCCGUUGGGAGAGCGGCAGCACCCAUGUGGAGUGCCACUUUCUGAUCUGGGACUUAAACAACAUUGCUGUUUUCCUCCUUGCUCCAAGUCAUCCAUUUUGACAAUUUUAUAUCAGCAUGGACCCUUCACCAAGACUGAAAUAACUCUGUUAUUGAGUGUUGGGAACACGGAGAUGAAUAAAACAAGGCCCCUGUCCUGGGAGAGCCGAGAGGCCACCUGUCAGCUGACAUCUUAGGGAGGACACCAUCUACAUCCAACCCUGACUACUGAACACUUCCAGUUUCUUGGAAGAAAGAUUUUAAAAUCUUCAGAAAUGAGAACUCCUCCAAAUAGGAUUUUCAUUUGUUUCAUAUAUUUUAAAAUUUUAUAUUUUAAUAUGUAACAGUCAUAUGGUUUAAAUAUAAAAAUGACAUCAGUGGCUCAGUAAGAAGUUUUCCUCCUAAUUUUUCCCUAACAGUUCCCAAUUUCUGAUAUAAAAAAUGUUAUAUCCUUGCAGGAUUUACUUAGGUAAAUACAUGUUCUUAGUUUUCCUCUUCAUUAUUCCAAAGGUUGUUUACUGCAAGCAUGGUUUUUCUUGCUCAUACAUCCUGGAGAUUGUCCCAUAUCCACACAGAGAAGGUUCCCCAUUUUUUUCUUACAGCCGCAAAGUGUUCCUUGUUCUAAACCAGGUUUCUAUUGAUAGUACUGGGUGGCUGGUCCUCAAUCUUUUGCUCUCAGACUGUGCCAUGUAUGUCCUUUCAGAGGGGGGCAGGUACAUCUGUAGGAUGGGUUCAAGGGUUUGUAAUUGAGAGAGAGAUUGCAAAUUGUCCUCCACAGAGGUUGCACUGCUUUCAUCCCCACCAGCAAUGUAUGAAAAGGCCUGUUUCCUGUUUUCCCUAUCAGGCUGAUAUUUAUUUAUUUAUUUGUUUAUUUACUUAUUUAUUAGAGCCAAGGUCUCACUCUGUCACCCACGCUGGAGUGCAAUGGCGUGAUCAUAGCUCUCUGCAGCCUCAAACUCCUGGGCUCAAGUGAUCCUCCUGCCUCAGCCUCCUGAUUAGCUGAGACUACAGAUAUGUGCUACCACACCCGACUAAUUUUUCACUUUUUGUGAAGACAGUGUCUCGCUAUGUUGCCCCGGGGUGUGGGGGGAGUUCUCUAACUCCCGGCCUCAAGCAAUCCUCCUGCCUCUACCUCCCAAAGUAUUGGGAUAAGCUAAUAUUUUUAAAGAGAAAGGAAGGAGGCAAUAUGAGGCCUCUAAAGAAGAGAGGUAGGAAGAAGGUGAAGCCCAGAUGCCUGGAGCACACAGAGCUGCAGCCACUGCCUGCAGCUUUGCUUAUGAGGGGGAUUGAGUUUCUUCAGGCCAUGAUGUUUGAUUUGUGUUUGGAGCAGUAAGCCUUACAGCUGAUAAAUGGUUUUUUUCUCCUGGGGGAGCACGAGACUCUAGGAAGAUAAUCUAUUAGGAGAACCUGAGGGAAGAGAGUUUAGUUGGUGCAUGUGGGUGUGAGGUUGUUUCUCGGUCCCUUCAGGCUGCUAUUGCAGAAUACCAUAGACUGUGUGGCUUAGAAACAACAGAACUUUAUUUCUUACAGUUCUGGAGGGUGGGAAAUCCAAGAUUGAGGUGCCAUCAGAUUCGGUGUCUGGUGAGAGCCUGUUUCCUGGCUCAUAGACAGCACCUCUCACUGUCCUCACCUGGUGGAAGGGUGUCGCUGGGGACUGAGUGUCUUCAUUUUUAUCAGUGCUUCUUUUGUAAGGGCACUAAUGCCCUUGUGCGGGCUCCACCCCCAUGACCUAAUCACCUCCCAAACAGCAUCACCUCAGGGAUGAAGAUUUCAACAUGUGAAUUGUGGGGGACACAAGCAUUCAGAACAUAGCAGGUGGCAUAUGAAAGUGCAGACCACCAUAUCCAGCAAAUACAUAUGCAUUUCCAAUAGUCAGGGGAAGAGACAGAGGGAGAGGUGGAGGAGGGUGGAGAAGAGGACAAUCUUCUCUGAGGAGGUAACGUUUGGGCAGAAUCCAAUUCAUAGAUCUGGGAAGAAAAGUUCCAGCAAAGGGACAAGCAAGGGUCAAGAUCCUCAGGGGAAGGAGAGGAGAGGGGCCUGCUCAAGACAGUGAGUGACCUUGGAGGAAUUGGGACAGGGAAGGCAGUCAGCAAAGCUGGGAGUCGGGGGGGUGCUGGACCAUGGGGAGCCUGGAAGGCCAUGGCAGGGAGUUUGGGGUUUAUCUUAAGAAUAAUGAGAAAAAGAAACUGGUCAGAAAAACCACAUAUUGCAUUUUUCCAUUUCUACAAAAUAUCCAAAAUAGACAAACCCAGAGAGACAGAAAGCAGAUUCGUGGUUGGCUGGGGCUGGGGAGAUUGGGAGGAAAUGGGGAGUGACUAAUAAUGGGUGCUGGGUUUCUUCUGAAGGAUGAUUACAAUGUUCUAAAAUUGAUUGUGGUGAUGGUUGCACAACCCUGCAAAUAUACAAAAAAAAAAAAAAGCCCAUUGAAUUGUAUACUUUCAGUGGGUGAAUUAUAUGAUAUGUGAAUUACAUCUCAAUAAAGCUGAUUUAUUUAUUUAUUCAUUUAUUUAUUUUGAGACAGGAUCUUGUUCUGUCGCCUAGGCUGGAGUGCAGUGACGUGACACAAUCACAGCUCACUGCAGCCUCGACCUCCCAGGCUCAAGUGAUCCUCCUACCUCAGCCUCCUAAGUAACUGGGACUAUAGGUGCAUGCACCACCAUACCCAGCUAAUUUUUAAGGUGUUUUUUUUUUUUUUGUAGAGACAGGGGUCUCACUAUAUUGUCCAAGCUAGCCUCAAACUCCUAGGCUUGAGUGAUCCUCCUGCCUUGGCCUCUCAAAGUGCUAGGAUUAUAAGCGUGAGCCACUAUGCCCAGCCUUGUUAUUUUUUAAAAAAGGAUUUUAAAAAAUUAUAAAAAGGAUAAUAGGAAGCUGUUAGAGGGUGAUUUAAUCAGCAGUAACAUUCUCACUCAGGCUGUUGUGGGAGAACAAACUGUAGGGAGGGGAGAGUGGGGGCAGGAGAUGGUUGGGAAGCUAGUGCAGUCGGCCAGGCAAGGAGCAAUAGUGACUUGGCCUGGGUGGGUCACUUUGUGAUGAGGAUUAAUGAAAAGGCCAGACUGGGGUAUUUUUUGAAGCUAGAGUUUGAUAAUUGGUUGUGAGGGGUGGGAGAGAGAGAUGAAUCCUGGCCAUUUAACUGCAGUGAAAAGACUGGAGGAAUAGUUGGACAAGCGGAGGGACGGGGCAUACGAGUUCUGUUUUGAACAUGACAGGCCUCCGAGGUGUCCACUAGGCAGACGGGAUGUCAGGGCAGGGUUACCACCAUGUAGAUGGUCACUGCUAAGAGCUGGGCACUCCUCCAAACACAUACAUUAAAUCAUUUAGUCUUCUCAGUAACCUAUGAGGCGAGAGCUGUAGCUAUCCCUGUCCAUAGGGGGCGUAUCCUGUGUGCCAUUUCAGAUGCCCGCGGCCUCACCUCUUGUUCCAGCCAUUGCCCCAGUGACCAGUUUUGCACAGGUCUUGACCAGUGCCGUGUAAAUGUCGCCUGGCAGGGCCUCUCCACAUGCCUCUCGCCCAACACCAUGAUGGGGGGACACCCAUGGAACCUGCUUGGCAUUAACACAUGAGCCGCCCAGAAGUGAAGGGGAGCUAACAUUCCAUGGGAUGACUCGAGAGGAGCCAAUGGAUAACUGUCCCCCUUCUUCCAGUGAGUUCUGAAGUACGUUUCAUAAAGCUUCACAGAAAGACUGAGUGGUGUUCACUCAGAGAGAUGUUAACACACUCCCAUAUUGACUCCCCCCUUUCUCUGUUUCAUUCCUCCUCCCCCUCACCCCUGCUCCCUGGGAUCAUGUUCCCAAAUAAACUACUCAUGCUUAAGCCUUUGUCUCAGGCCCCAUGUAAGAUCUGAUCUUACAUGGAGAAUUUAACAGCAACAACAUCACACCAGGGGCAUGCUCACCAGGGGCAGAGCAGGGGUUCACACCCCGGCAAGCUUCUCUACUCGCUUCCAUGUUGCCUCUCAAAGAUCCCAACCUCUAGAGGACAUUUAAAGGCACAGGCCUAGAUGGAAUCUAACCAUCUAACCGGGAGAGACUGUAAAUAAGAAAAAAGUCCCCACACCAUGCUCACAUUUAGAGAUCAAGAAGAGGAGGAGCCAGCGAAGGAGCCAGAGAAAGAGCUGCCAUCCGGGUAGGAGGAAGCCAGACCAGUGUGGAGUCCUGGACUCCAAAGAAAGACAGCGUUGCAAGGAGGAGCGAGUGCCCUACUGUGCAAACGCUGCUGAGAAAUUGAGGAGGUGAGACCAGGAGACAGACCUUUUGGAUGCGCCAGUAGGAGGUCACUGGUGACUUGGACAAGGGCAGUUUCAAUGGAGUGACAGAAACAAAAACUUGGCUGGUGUAGGCUAAGAGGGAAUGGAGGUGAAGAUUCGGAGAAGUAGCCAGCAGGGACAACCACUUCAAGGAGGGGUGCGUAAAAGGGAGGAGGAAGUGGAGCAGAAGCUGAAGAGGGUGUAGGGUCAAGGAAGAGUUUGUUUUGAAAGUGAGAGAGAUCAUAGCGCAGUUAUGUGCCGAAGGGAAUGGUCUGGCAGAGAGAAGGAGCUGGAUAGUGCAGGAGGGAGAAAGGUGAUUUCAGGCAGUCUUGAGUAAGUGAAGGGAUAUGGUGCACAAAAUGAAGGGAUUGGCCAGGGAUGCAAGAGGAGGCCAUCCCUCCAUCUGUCCAUCCAUCUAUCCAUCUGUCCAUCUGUCUGUCCAUCCAUCCGUCUGUCCGUCCGUCCGUCUGUCCACCCAUCCAUCCAUCCAUCCAUCUGUCCGUCUGUCCAUCUAUCCUUCCGUCCAUCCAUCCAUCCAUCCAUCUAUCCAUGCAUGCAUCCAUUGUGAGGAAGAAAGGUAGCAGCGGGCAUAGAUGCAGGCACCUUGGGAGAUCUGAUGGUGAGAGGCACGUACGUUCCAGCAGAUGACAUUUAGUUUCUCAGCAAAAUAAGAAGCAAGAUCUUUAACUAACAGCGAGAAACUAAGGGAAGGUGUUGAGGGUUGGAGAAGAUGUGAAACACUUAUCUGGAGAGUGGCGCAGUGAAUUUAGUAGAGAAAUAUAGUAAGAUUACUGGGCAAGCUGAGCGCCCACUUGAAGUUUGUGGUCAGAAGCGUCAAGUGCGGCUAUUCAGUAUGACUGUGAGUUUCCCCGGCAAUGCUCAGCUACUCAGUGCAGGUGCAGGGUGUUGGGUUUAAGCAGGGUGGAGGCUGUGUCAGGAGAUUCCAAAUGAAGGGAAAAGAGCAAGAAAGGAGAGGGCUUCCACAAAUGGGUGAUUCUUGUCAAGGCCUACAGAAUUGAGCUGGAGAAGGGGGUUGAAGGCAGUGAAAAAGGACAAGUUCAAAGGCAGGGAGUUCCCAAAGGGGACACAUCAUUGAAUGGAGGUAAUAGAGUAGAUAAGCUGAGAGCCGAGGAAGGGGUGGUCAGGGAGCAGGGGGUUCAGAAGUGCUGAGGCAAAACCCUGGCCAUGGGAGUGGGAGGCCCAGGCAGCAGAACGAGAGGUGGAGAGUGAGGAGGCCAAAGACCAAGAGUGGGAGGUGCUGGGUGGACAUCUACAUGGAUGACCUUCCUUGUCCACCAUCUCUUAAACAGCUCCCCAUCCUGCCACUACCCCUUCAUCUGCCUUUUCCUUUCAUAGCCCCUCUGUCUAACAUUAUUUUACGUAGGACUGGUUCAUUGGUUAAUUAUCCUUGCUGCCAUCAGAAUGUAAGCAUCUGAGGGCAGGGACAUUUUCUCUCUGGUCUACACUUAUAAACUCUUUUCUAAGAACAUACCUGGCACAGAUUAGGUGCUCAGAAACAUGUGCUGGACAAAAGAAUGAAUUAAUGUUAAGGUCUAGGAAAAGCAUGGAGGAGUGGUGGUGGAGAGGAAGACCGUGGGCCAGGUACUAAAAUCUGUGAAUGAGCAGGAGUGGCCUAGAGUAUGGUAAAUACUAGAAGGGAUGGUGGAUGGUCUGGUCUGAUGGCAUAGCUGCAAAGGAGAUGCAGACUUAGGCUGAGGAGGAAGGGGGAGAAACCUACAGGUGGCCAUGAAAGCAGGGAGGACAACUCGCUGCCUCCAGGCAUACUGAUGUGGAAGAAGAAAACAGAGCCAAGACAGGAGGUGGCUGCAAGGAAGCUGUGUGUGGGGGUCAGGCAGGUUUGCAGUAGAACAGGAUGGUGAAAGGAAUGUUCAAAGGGAAAGUCGAGUGGAUGGGGAGAUUUUGCUGAUGACAAACCAUAAGUUCCCGAGAGCAGAGUGAAAGGAUCUGGGGGAUUGUGUCAGAUUAGGGGAAUAGAGCUACAUGGGGGUGAAAGUCUUGGGGGUGAAGGAUGAACAACAGUGUCAGGCUUCUGGAGGUGUCUAGGGACACAAGGCCACAGGGCAUGAUGGGCUCUCCUGAAGGUCUCUCUUGGGCAAGUGGGUACCCCUGCUCACGCCAGCUCCUCCUCCAGCCAGGGCCCACGGGCCAUGGACCACAGUGAGGCAGUGAUAUUGGCGUUGGAGGGGCCUUGCCAGACACUGAGUGUUCGGGGUGGGAGGAGAGGGCAGCUUUGGGUAUUGGAAGGAAAGUCGAGCAGGCACUCCGGAGACUAGAUUCUCAUCCAAAUCUUUCCUACAAACCAUGACGUAACAUUGGGCAAAAUGGUCAUGAUUUUCCUUAUCUAUAAAAUAGAGAGGAGAGGAGGUCUCUCUUAGCUGUGCAAAUCCUGGCCUCUGUCUCCUUCUUUCCCUGACUUCUUCUAGCUCCUGUCUCCUCAGCCCUCCCGACUUGUAGCUAAGCCCUGGCUUUGUAUUAACCACCCUCCUGCUGUCAGCAUCGCUGAGAGGCAUAGCCAAGGCCUGCCCUCUUCCUCCUCCCUGGCUCCAAAAUGCUCCAUGCACUGUCCCAUGCCACUCUGAUCCUGAGCAGCCAAGUGGGCAGAAUGACACUCCUUUGGGCGUGGAAGUGAACAUCAGCCAUGAGUAGGGAGAGGAAACUGCCCACAGAGAGGGCAGACUCCAUCAGGGGCAAGUGACAAAGCCACAGACUGGCAUGAAGAGGCUUCCCAGGCCCUCUGGAAGGCAGUGAAGCCAGCAGCCUGGCUCCUGGGAUGGGCUGUCCCCUAUUCAGCAGCUCCAUGGGCCUGGAAGUGGGCCCAGGGAGCCAGCCAGAAGGAGGCUGUGGCCAGAGGCUUGAUUUGCAGCCCAGGACUAGGACGCAGGGUUCUCAUCCAGGCUUCACCCACAGCAAAUGUGCGACUCUCCCUGGCCCUCUGGGUGGGGAUUAUAAUAACUACCUUGCUUACCCCAGUUGCUGGAGGCCAAUAUUCACUGAACAUUCAUCAUGAGUCAGGCAUUCAGUAAUCCUCACAAUGGCCCUAGAAAUUGGCCUGUACUAUUUUCAACCCUUAGGGAGGAGGUGACAGACACAUAGAACAUCUAAGUAACUUGCCUGACACUCCACAGCUUGUAAGUGGCAGGGCCAGGCUCUUAGCCCUAAACCAUACAUUAGAGAUUUAUUAUCAUUUAGGUCCCUCAACAAUCUUGUGAUGCAGGUAUUACCAUCCAUUUUACAAACAUGGCAAUGGCUCAGAAGUCUUCAGUUAUUUGCCCAGGGUCACUUGGCUGACUGUAGCAGAAUCAGGAUUUGAACCCAGGCCCAACUUCAAAGCCAGUCCUCUUCUCAUUGGGUUGCGCCCCCAGCAUUAGCACAGGGACAGUUCCUCAGGCUGACUGCCCAAGGCCCCAUCUGUGCAAACAGGAGAGGAAAUGGCAGCCUAACUCCAGGCAGGGCCCGGGCUCAGAAGGGGGUCUACAGGGCUGAAGAGGCAGCUGGCCAGAGAUUCCACAGGAAGCAUCUUGUUGACACAUCUUCAUCACUUUGGAAUUUGAGCAACAACAUUUACCCCUUCUGAAACUCACCCAGAGGAAGCGGAUUUUCUGACGCAUAUGAAGAGUGAGAACUGUCUACAUCUAAGUCUUCUUUGAGAACAAUACCAGCUGAGCGGCUAUUUACAUUCCAGCUUCUUUUGAGAAUCUCUGAAGAUGAUUAAGUCAUUGUCAGCUGGCCCAGAACCAUAUCCUGCUCCACAAGCCUCGUCCUUGGCAAGAAGUUGCACCUGCCCAGAGAGAAAACCUUUUGAAACUGGCACAAAGGCACUGGAGAGACUGGCAGGGCCCCCUACUUGACGAUCUGGCUCAUCCAUCUGCACACUGACCACGCUAAGAGCUGUCUGCAGUGAUGGAAACCUUCUCUAGCUGUGCUGUCCUCUAUAGUGGCACCAGCUGCCUGUGGCUACUGAGCACUUCAACUGUGGCUGCAGAGACUAUGUUAAAUUGUAUUUAAUCAUAAUUAAUUUAAUUGUAAACAACUACAUGUGGCUAGUGGUUUCUGUACUGGGCACUGCAGGUGCACAUUUCCUGCUGGCCAUGGACAGUAAGCUCCAUAAGAGACUAAUUGUGCCUGGUUUGCUUAUAGGCUUAUCCUCAGCACCUGCACCAGCCUAGAAUAUGAUUGGCACUCUAUUAAUUAAAAGUUCCCAGGUAAAUGAAUUAGUGGAUUCUCUGUUUCCUCCACUAUGCCACAACCUCCUUAAGGGCAGAGAUGGUGUCUUCAAAAAAAAAAAAUUCUGGUCAAAAACACAUAAGAUCUACCACCUUCACCAUUGUUGUGUCCAGUUCAGUAGUAUUAACUACACUUACAUUGUGAUACAACAAAAGAUUGUGUCUUUUUACAUUCUUAGGACCCAGCACAGUGUCUGGCACAUAAUCUUAGUAAACACUGGCAGAGCACAUGCCUUUGCCAAGGCCAGAACAGAGGUUCAGUGCCAUCCAUUACCACCCUUUCACACAUCCACUGGGGCUUUAAAAACAACCUGGAAUGAAAGCUGUUGAGUCUAGAGAAAUGGGCUACAAAGAAGGUUUACAAGAUAAUCUAUUAAGAAUAGGGAAUACAGGCCGGGCACGGUGGCUCACACCUGUAAUCCCAGCACUUUGGGAGGCUGAGGUGGGUGGAUCAUUUGAGGUCAGGAGUUCGAGACCAGCCUGGCCAAUGUGGUGAAAUCCUGUCUCUACCAAAAAUUAUCCAGGCAUGGUGGUGCGUGCCUGUAGUCCCAGCUACUUGGGAGGCUGAGGCAUGAGCAUCGCUUGAACCCGGGAGGCAGAGGUUGCAGUGAGCCGAGAUCGCGCCACUACACCCCAGCCUGGGUGACAGAGCAAGACUCCGUCUCAAAAAAAUAAAAAAACCUAAAAUAAAGCUUAAUACACAUGACAUAUGGAUUGGCAGUCACACAUAAAUAUGAUUGAUAAGGAUACAAAUAUUUGGAGGUGCUGCCUGACCAUCUGUUGCUGAUUAUGUGGAGAUCACUUGUCUAGGACCCUGAGAUAGACUGAUGUUUCUAACUCUGCCACACACGGUCUCUCCCACCCUCCAGACACUUUCUUCCUUCAGUUCAGGGAACCCUCAAUACACAGUAAGAAUGAAGAGGUUGCAGGUCUGAGCUUGAGGAGGACUGGACUAAAAGGAGUUUAGCCCUGCCAGGGCAUUCCGAGGACUGUGAAGAUCCGGAAUAUUGGCCACAGGCAUCUAUGUAUUUGAAUCAUAUCCAUUUUUGAGCUCACUCCUAGCAGAGGAGUCAAAACUUACGUUCUGGCCCCCAGGUACAUUUCCAGUCUCUUACUCAUAAAAUUGUGACAUACCCCCAGGGGUGCCCAAAGGGGUUUGUGAAUCAAGAUAGUUUGAGGAGAAUCGAUUUUCUGAUCCUCAGUUUUUCUAUGCUCUUUUUCCUAAAAGCGAUAUUCCUAAAAAGGCAUCCAAGACAAGGCAUCCCCUUUCCCAUUUGCUGGGGAAGACAGCUUUACAAGAGAAAGCUGCCCCUCUCACCCAUGUGACCCCCCACUCUGGGGCACUGCCCUAGGGGUAGAAAUCUCCAAGGCAUCAAACAAAGUGACUCCUGGGGGUCAAGUGACAGAGGAGCAAGUCUUUCUGCAAGUCAAGUGGUUUCCAGCUCUGCUUUCAGCAAAAUUGAAAGAGGCACUAAUCAAAUUGCCAGCGGAUCAUAAAAAAACAUUUUGAUAAUAAUGUUAUUAGGCAUAUAACUUGGAAGAAGUUCAAAGAAUUGAAUGGCAUCCUCAUAACAAACUCAUCGGCUUCCAUUUAUUUAUUUAUGUGGACAGUGUUUCUCAAUGUUUAAACCUACAAAAGACUAAACAUGGGAGUAAACUUCAUGUUGAACCUUGUGUGAGUCUAGCAAUAAGUCAUCCACAUAUACAUACACUAAUUGGGAAGAAAACCUGUCCCAACCCCAACUAUUUUAUUAAGAGAUGCAUUUCCAAUAAAAAUUUACCUUUUAUGUUUAAUAGUUGUUUAUCAAAUUUCGUAAUUAUUUACAUUGCUCUGAUCAAUUGGAUAUAAACUAUUCUAACACUAAACUCAUAACCAAAAAAUUAAUGCUCAGCUUUGGGAACAGAGGAAUUUUUUUUUUUUUUUUUUUUUUUGAGAAGGAGUCUUGCUCUGUUACCCAGGCUGGAGUGCAGAGGCGCAAUUUCAGCUCUCUGCAACCUCCACCUCCCGGGUUCAAGCGAUUCUCCUGCCUCAGCCUCCCAAGUAGCUGGGACUACAGGUGUGUGCCAUCACGCCUAGCUAAUUUUUGUAUUUUUAGUAGAGACAGGGUUUCACCAUGUUGGCCAGGAUGGUCUUGACCUCUUGACCUCGUGAUCUGCCCCUCGGCUUCCCAAAGUGUUGGGAUUACAGGUGUGAGCCACCAGUCCCGGCCAGAAGUUUUAAUCUUUAAAUUUUAUUUAAUACAAUAAUCAAUCAAAGAUUUUUCUUUCUUUCUUUUUUUUUUUUUUUUUUUUGAGACAACUUCUCCCUUUGUUAGUCAGGCUAGAGUGCAGUGGUGCAAUCAUGGCUCACUGCAGCCUUGACCUCCUGGGCUCAAGCCAUCCUCCUGCCUCAGCCUCCCCAAAGUACUGGGAUUACAGUCAUGAACCACCAUGCCUAGCCAAUAAAAGAUUUUCAAGCAUAAAAAAUAAAUACAGGCUGGGUGCUGUGGCUCACACCUAUAAUCUCAACACUUUGGGAGGCCGAGGUGGGCGGAUCAUUUGAGCCUAGGAAUUGGAGACCAGCCUGGGCAAUAUGGUGAAACUGUGUCUCUACAAAAAAUACAAAAAUUAGCAGGGCAUGGUGGUGCAGGCCUGUAGUUCCAGCUACUCAGAAGGCCGAGGUGGGGGAAUCACCUGAGCCCAGGAGAUUGAGGCUGCAGUGAAUCAGGAUCACACCACUGCACUCCAGCCUGGGCAACAGAGCAAAACCCUGCCUCAAAAAAAAAACAAACAAACAAACAAAAAAAAACCCUUACAUUAGCAUAAAAUCUGUAACAGGAGUGAAAUGGAAAUACAAGUUCUUGGAGAGAACGAAAUAAUGUAAACUUCUAAGCUGUUUAAUUAGCGUUUGUUCCCCUAUUUUUUUUAAUGGAUAAUGUUGGACACAGAAUUGCUCUGGCAUUUAGAUUCCAUUGGACAUUUAAAAGAAAGAUACAAUUUGUAUUUGAAAAUAUCAAUAUUCAUUUUUCUUUGAAUUUUUUGACUAUAAAAUAUAAUAAAGGCAUAUAGAAAGUGAAAAAAUAUUCAUAAAAUGCUAAAAAGGAUAUCCUUUGGAACUAUUUAAAUUUCUGAUGGAAAAUUUCAAAUGCCAACUUAAAUACAAGAGGGUAGGUCAUGUAAAAAAAUUAUUUAAGGGGCUUUGAAGGCGGCUGUCUGGGGAGUUAAGGUCUUGUGUCUCCAGUGCCCUCUCUCACCCCUAAGGUACUGGGUGGGCCUCUGGAGGUACAUCUGCCUAUACAAGGAAUCUUUGAUGUAGCAAAAAAAAAACACAAAACACAAAAAACCCUCACAGCAUGCCCUGCCCUUGGGCUCUGGAAACCACCGUCCUGCCUGCCCCACUCCUGCUCUCAGCCCCCUCCUCAGGCCUAAGCCUCCCCAACCCUCCCCACCCCCCACCCCACUGCCCCACCCGCAGUCCACCCCGCUGUCGCCUCCCAGCCCUGGCCCGGCCAGCCCUGGAGUAAAUAAACCACCGGGCAAGGACCCAGACAAUGGGCCUUGGCAAGGAGUUAAUGGGCUGGGCCUCUCGCGUUAGCCGAGUGUGACCGGAGCUGGCAGGGGGCCUGGCCUGGCGCCAGCAUCGAUUACGACCAGACGGAGCCAGGGCAGACUUGGCACGAAUGGGCCCCACAGCUGGCAGAUUCAGUCACCCUGGCCACAAGGGCACGAGGCCUGCCCUGGGCGCCGGCUGCCACCGCGGCUGUGCUCCCUGCCACCGCCUUCACUGCCAGUGUGGCAGGGCCGCUUGUCAGGCACUCAGUCCCUAGGCCCUUUUGGUUCUCCCCAGGGGAUUGUCCCUGGUCAGGCCUCUUCCUGUCCCAGGCUGCCUCUGAGGCUGCUCUGUGGCCCCACAGACUGGGUGCAGAGCGGGGGUGGGGUAGGGGGAGGCUGAGGGUUGGGCUGGGGGAUGCAGCUGUGACGCCCCUGCCCCCGGCACUCCCACCACUCCAGGACAGAGGGAGGCUGCUGAGCCAGGCUGGUGUUGGUCAGCAGGAAGAACAGGUGAAGCAAGCCUCAUUUCUGGUGUCCAGAUGGAGGACAGGGUCUUUCUUCCCCUGUUUCUCAGAAACCUUUGUGGGCCUGGGCUCUGCUCUGGCUCGGCAGCUCCACCCUGCAGGGGGAUUGGCCGGGUGGCAGGGACCACCUGAGGGCUCACUGCGUCCCUGCUAAGAAGUUGUUCGAGUCAGGGUUUGCAAGCGGGGCUUGCCUGGGGGAAAGGGCAUUUCUUGCUUUUUGGGUUUACUGCUCCUCCCAGGCUCUCUGGGUCCCUCUCCCCUGGGCGAUGGGCUGUGGCAUAACGUCCUCAGGGCAAGGUAACGGCUCCAUCUGGAGCUGAUGGCUCCUCCAACGCUAAGGAGCUCCAUGGACCCAGUCUUGCUGAGCAAAGGUUUCUUUGGCUUGACUGCUGGAAGACAAAUCACACCACUGGGCAGUCUCCAAAUUUUAGGGGAUGGUCAGUAUCUCUCUGAGAGAGAUACUGAGAGGUCCAAAAAACCCCACAGAGGAGAGAAAACACCAGGCCACAUACCCAGAGUGACAGCCCCUGCUCUCUGAGGUCACAGGUGGAGAGCAGGGGAGGUCAGGCCCUGAGGGCUGUGGCUGCUGGAGCCAGCUCCACCAGGCCUGAUAAUCCCUGCAGAUGAAGCCGGCGCCCAUCCCAGUAGGCAGUGGUAAUCCCCACCCAACCCCACUUCCCCGGGGAGGAAGCUGACACAGGGGUGAGGGGGCACUGGAAACACGGGAGAGCAGAGGAAUGGCAGCUGGGGCCCUUACCCCGGCACCAGCUUCUGCACCUGCCCUGAGUUUCCCUUGUCCCCCUCCAGAAGCUCUCAGAUCUUUACUUUUUUGUGAGCUCUGUUCUCAGAGAAAGUUCUAAUACAUGUAUAAUACCAACUGGCUAACUGAGUGGGGUGGGUUGGGGCUUGGGGGGCUGGGGAAAUGUGUGGCCCACCAAAGGACACUAACCCAACAACCCUGCGGAGUUGUGGUCUCCAAACUGAAAGAGGACACAGUGUCAGGUGACAAACAAAACUGGCCUGGAGCCAGGCAUGGUGGCUCACUCCUGUAAUCCCAACAUUUUGGGAGGCCGAGGCUGGAGGAUCACUUGAGCUCAGGAGUUCAAGACCAGCCUGGACAAUAUAAGGAGACCCCUGUAUUUACAAAAAUUUAAAAAAUUAGCUGGGCUAAUGGUGGUGCAUGCCUGUAGACCCAGCUACUCGAGAGGCUGAGGUGGGAUGGUCGCUUGAGCCUGGGAGGCAAAGGUUGCAAUGAGCCGAGAUUGCGCCGCUGCACUCCAGCCUGGGCAACAGAGCGAGACCCUGUCUCAAAAAUUUAAAAAGUUAAAAAAAUUAAAAUUAAAAACUGGCCUAGACUAGGGAAGUGAAAUGUCCAAACAUUUUGAACAGAUAAGAGGCAUGGUAGGAGGGAUGAAUUUUUAUAAAAGAAAUAUUGACAUUUGGUGGCGAAAUAUAAAUAUAUACAAAUCUUUUCCUCUACAAUACUUUUUUAUUGUCCUUGAAGGACCUACAAAAAUCACUUAGGUCGUUUAGGCACAUAAAAUGUGCCAUGCAUAACUUGGCUCAUAAAAUUGUCACCUUUGUUAUAUGGUUCCAGAGAUGUGAAGGUCUGUUUAAAAGUUAAAAACAUGCUGUUAAUGGAGACUCUAUUUUUCCCCAAUAUUUUUUAAAACCAAAAGACUCCUCAAGGAGUCUGAUUUUUUUUUCUCCCCUGGCCUUCAUCUGGACUCUUCCUUUUGGUGGCCUUUAAUGAAGUAGGUUGGAGACCCUUCAUACUGGGUAACCUCACACCUUGACCUGGGUAGUCAGUAGCACAGGGCCCAAUGCUUAGAAGGGCCUUGCAUUUGGUUUAAAACUCUGUUGCCGCAAUAUAUAUAUGUCUUUUUUGAGACAGGGUCUUGCUCUGUCACCCAGGCUGGAGUGCUGUGGCAUGUUCUUGGCUCACUGCAGCCUCCACCUCCUGGGUUCAGGCUAUCCUCCCACCUCAGCCUCCCUAGCAGCUGGAACUCACAGGCAUGCACCACCACGCCCACUAAUUUUUUAUUUUAUUUUUUUGAGACAGGGUCUUGUUCUGUCACCCAGGCUGGAGUGCAGUGAUGCAAUUUUGGCUCACUGCAACCUCUGCUUCCUGGGAUCAAGUGAUCCUCCCACCUCGGCCUCCUGAGUAGCUGGGACUACAAGCAUGUGCCACUGUGCCUGACCUAAUUUUUUAUUUUUUGUAGAGACAGGCUCUCACUAUGUUGCCCAGGCUGGUCUUGAACUCCUGGGCUUAAAUGAUCCUCCUACCUCAGCCUCCCAAAAUGCUGGGAUUACAGGCACGUGCCACCACACCCAGCAAACGCUUCAUAAUUUAAUAAGGGGCCCGUAUUUUCACUUUGCACUGAGCCCCACAAGAUAAGUAGCCAGGUCUAGUUAUACCCCCGCCUGAAGCCAACACUGACCUUCCCCAGCCCUCGGAGCUGUCCCCAGGCCUCACUAGUCUCAUCUCUCCAGUAGGAGGCCUUUGCCCUUGUGUAAGUCUUGCUUCUUCUCGUCAGGAGUGCCUGACUGCGUGCCUCGCUUCGAGCCUCCCGUCCCCUCUAGCCAGCUCAACAGCAUCUCCUUAUAUUCCCCUUCGGCCCUGGGGACCACUGGGAACAAAACAAAACGCAACCCGUUCCCUUGUGGCUGUCGGGCGGGCGGGCGUUGAGCCCUGUUCCUCACUCCAGCUGGUGUACCCCUCCGGGAGCCACGCCUCGCGCGGAGCGGGAGCCUUCAAAGAGGCCGCGCCUUCCUGGCUGCUCCCUUCGCAUCCUGAUCCAGUCCAAUGAUGUUUUUGCAAUUUUCCUGUGAGCUUGGUGGGAAAAGCUCAAAGAGACUCUGUCUUCCUUUCUGGCUUCCUUUCCAGACGGCGCAGCUUUCUCUCAGCUGCUCCCCUGCCCCACCUCUCUCGAGGAAAUCGGUCUCUUUCCUCUCCCCCUCACCCAAAAGGUCCAUUCCUGAGGCUUAUCCUGAAAUCAAGCCGUAGCGGAGCGGUGGGGGAUCCGAGGCACAAGCAACGGGGCCUCAUGAUGUUGCCUAGGCUGGGCUCCAGCUCCUGGAUUCAAGCAAUCCUCCCACCUUGGCCUCUCAGUGUUUUGGGAUUACAGGUGUGAGCCACCACGCCUGGUCUCAAGCCUUCGCUUUCGCAAUCAGCACUAAAGGCAGCCAGAAAUCAACCGUGCGCCACCCCCGACCUGAGAAACAAGUCUAAAUGUGUCCGGAAUUGGUGGGUUCUUAGUUUCACUGACUUCAAGAAUGAAGCCGCGGACCCUCGCGAAUGAAUACACAGGGGCUUAGAGGCAUGUGCUGCUACUGAG